ACUUCAUCUGUCCAGUACUUUUUUUUAAAAUUUAUUUUUUCUAUUUCUUUUUUGUUCUCCCCCUCUCCUUUCCCCUCCUUCUCCCUCUCUUUCUCUUUUCUUUUGAGACAAACAUCUUAUUAUGCAAUUCUGGCUGGCUUGGAAUUCUAUGUAUACCGUACUGGCCUCAUACUCAAAACGAGCCUCCCGUUCUCUCUCAAGAGUAAAGAGCUUGCUGUAGAAGCGUGAGGACCUACAUUUGUAUUUCCAACACCACAUAAAAAGCCAGUGGUACAUUACAUGCCUGUAAUCGCAGUGCUGGAAGGAUCCCUGAAGACACCUCUCCUCAAAAUCAAGAAAUAUUUUGAUGUUCCAGUGAGUGAACAAAUACUUCUCAAGAAUGUGCACUGUAUCAGGAAAAUAAAAAUAAACAUCUUGAGGAAUUUAAAGAUCUCUGGACAAAUAAACAUCCAAAGAAAAAGGGAGAACUACUUGGAAAAACUUACUAAGAAAAGGAAUAAUCUGACCUAAUGCCAUCUCUGAAGUCUCCAAAAAGAUGAUGGAAUCUCACAACGACGAUACCACCUGGAUUAUAACACCACUAAGCUGAAAAACCUAUAGAUCGGCUUUGGAAUACAAACUGCUCAGAACAAUUUCAAGAUGGCCACUUGGUGAUCCAGCCUCACAGACUACUCUAGCCAGGACUUGAGACAAGCUCUGUACUUUCCCAUUACGGAGACUGGACAACAAAUGAUAAAGAGACAUUUCUAUUCCUGGUAGCACCAAUCUACUUCAGAGAAGAUGAUGGGCAUCGAAGAAACUCAAUAUGGAGUUUACUUCCUUUGUGGCAAAAGCAAGCCACUGGGCAAGAAAGUGCCCUUGCGUCAAUUGCUGACAGUAUGCUGUCCUAGCUGGAGAAGCAGGACACAAA